CAGUGAUAGUGGUUAACCAAAACAAACAACAAGAAACACCAAAAAUUUUAUACUGUUCUUCAUCAAAUUUAAUUUCAUCCUACUUCUGUAUCAUUCGUAAACAUCAACACACAAUAUAUUGUAAGCCCCCCGGCAACAACUGGACGAGAACAAUUUUUAAUAUCGGACAGUUUAGUAGAUUCAAGAAACAUACUGGACAGUUAAAACGACAAAUUACUCUUCUUCAACCACUGUGAAGCCUCAUCAUCAUAUCGCCAUUUAAUGGAGACGAAUGUGGGCGGCAUGGCAAGAGGCAAGUAAGAUUCGAUUUACCGCCGCAUCAAGCAACAAUAACUGAAACUAUUGUUCACCGGUUGUUUGGCUCGUUUGCUCCGGAAUGCUCCCUGGAAACUCCCUCCCCCCGCUCACUUUUUACCCUCUUGAAUGAACCGUGAAGUGGGUGGAGUGGGUGGUUCGCAUUCGGAAUGUAUCUGAUACUAAUAGGGACUGUAACAUAAUUCGGAUCCAUUGGAGACGCUGUUUGUUGCCUAGUUGAAAUAAUCGAUACAGCGCCAUUAGUUCAUUGAUGCGUAAAAUUGUAGCAAUCAUCAUUAGCGGGCAGGCGGCAAGGAUUUUCUCUUAUCGGAUGAAUGUUGCAGACC